AUAACAGUACCCGGCGGUUAACAUCCCUCUCGAUCAUGAAGUAUUUGCAAUUCUCAAGGGACACAAUGCUCCACAACAAGUGCAUAUAACAUAAGGGAACUAUGAUGAAAAUGUUGUAAUAAUUUCAUGGGUCACGUCUGAUGAACCGGGGUUCAGCAAAGUGCAAUAUGGCACAUCAGAUAAAAAUUAUGAAUUUACUACAGAAGGGAAAAUGACUAACUACAUCUUUUACAAAUACAGUUCUGACUAUAUUCAUCAUGUUCUUGUUUAUGGACUUAAGUUUGAUACUAAGUACUAUUACAAGACCGGGAAUGGUAAAUCUGCACGAGAAUUUUGGUUUCAAACACCUCCAAUGAUCGGUCCAGAUAUUCCUUACAAAUUUGGAAUUAUUAGUGA